UUAAAUUAAAAUUAAAUAUAGAUAAUUUAUACAAAUUGUGAUUUCUGUUCAUUCUUGAAUUCUAACCAUCAAGUUUAUUUUUAACAUUGUGUUGUUAGAAUGCUCUUGGAUUUGAUCUAAGUCCAACCACAAGCUGGAUCUAAGUCUGAACUCUCCAUUUGCCCCGAAGUCGAGGAAAGAAGAGGAGCAAAGACACAACUGCUUUCAAGUUGUUGCUUUUGCUACAUGUGAGAACGCACAGCCUUUAGAUGCACAACCUGCACCCUCUUUGGCAGUGAACAUGUAGGUACUUGAAUCAGUUGUGCCUUGUAUCUUUUCUAAUUGUCCUGCGAAUUACUUGAACCUUUGAUCUGGAAAUCUAACUGAUACUUCAAGCUAAAUUUUUAUUACAGUAUUAUUAUUGAAUUUUUGGACCUCUUUUUUCAAGAAAAAAAAAAAAGAGGAGUACUAAGGGGCCAGCAACUUUUGUGUUUUGUAACCAUCAAUUGGCUAUCGAUAAUGUUUUUAAUGGUGUGAGAUUAAAUCCAAUGGUGUGAAAUCAUUCAAUUUCCUUUUUAUGGUUAAAUGCUGGCCAACUUUUUAAAAAAUUGAUGGCUCCCGAGAUUUUCCCAAAAAGAAAAAUAUGAGCAAUUGUUCUCUUGAAAACUAAACUGAAUUGGGAGCUCAACACAAUAUGAAGAUAAUGUUUCUCAACCCAAGGUGGAAAGGAAGGAUGACGCGGCAAGGUUGCUUAUAGUUGAAUACUUACUAUAAGUAAAUGGAAGAACCUUUACUAUGAAAGCAAGAUUGCAGAGCAGAAAAGCAACAAGUGGUUAAUGCCUGAGAACAUUGAAGAGGUUUGCAAUUCUUGAGAAUGCUAAAAUGGAUGUUUCCUGUCUUACAUUCCCUCAACUGAUCAAAUGGCAAAAACAUUCCCUCAACUGAUCAAAUGGCAUAUUUGCUUGCAAAACCUGUGUCAAAUUGUCUUUGUAAAGUUUUAAUCCAAAAGCAGUUUUCCCAAAAGGAUUACUGAGUGUAAGGGGGGAAGGUUAGAAAGAAGAGUUUGUUUCUAACCCCCCAUUUUGUAUAUAUAUUAAGGUAGGGUGUUAGUUUCCGUUUUAAGCUUCCUGUUUGAGUCCGUUUUGUAUCUCUUUCUCAAUAGGCUAGUUUAUAUUUAAAAUCAUUUGUGCAGUUCUCUUGUAGUUCUCUUAUAAUUAUUUGAUUUGCAUCCAUCCAAUCCACUCUCCUUAGUGAGGCUUUAGUGGUUU